rnacentral:ncRNA from 1 species
UAAUCGCAGAUCAGCAUUGCUGCGGUGAAUACGUUCCCGGGCCUUGUACACACCGCCCGUCACGUCACGAAAGUCGGUAACACCCGAAGCCGGUGGCCCAACCCCCUUGUGGGGAGGGAGCUGUCGAAGGUGGGACUGGCGAUUGGGACGAAGUCGUAACAAGGUAGCCGUACCGGAAGGUGCGGCUGGAUCACCUCCUUU